UAGCAUUAUACCGCGAAACUGCGAAUGGCUCAUUAUAUAAGUUAUCGUUUAUUUGAUAAUACUUUACUACUUGGAUAACCGUGGUAAUUCUAGAGCUAAUACAUGCUGAAAAUCCCGACUUCGGAAGGGAUGUAUUUAUUAGAUUAAAAACCAAUGCCCCUCGGGGCUCUCUGGUGAAUCAUGAUAACUAGUCGAAUCGACAGGCCUUGUGCCGGCGAUGGCUCAUUCAAAUUUCUUCCCUAUCAACUUUCGAUGUUUGGGUAUUGGCCAAACAUGGUGGCAACGGGUAACGGAGGGUUAGGGCUCGACCCCGGAGAAGGAGCCUGAGAAACGGCUACUACAUCCAAGGAAGGCAGCAGGCGCGCAAAUUACCCAAUCCCGACACGGGGAGGUAGUGACAAUAAAUACUGAUACAGGGCUCUUUUGGGUCUUGUAAUCGGAAUGAGUACAAUUUAAAUCCCUUAACGAGGAACAAUUGGAGGGCAAGUCUGGUGCCAGCAGCCGCGGUAAUUCCAGCUCCAAUAGCGUAUAUUAAAGUUGUUGUGGUUAAAAAGCUCGUAGUUGAACCUUGGGCCUGGCUGGCCGGUCCGCCUCACCGCGUGCACUGGUCCGGCCGGGCCUUUCCCUCUGCGGAACCCCAUGCCCUUCACUGGGUGUGGCGGGGAAACAGGACUUUUACUUUGAAAAAAUUAGAGUGCUCAAGGCAGGCCUAUGCUCGAAUACAUUAGCAUGGAAUAAUAGAAUAGGACGUGUGGUUCUAUUUUGUUGGUUUCUAGGACCGCCGUAAUGAUUAAUAGGGACAGUCGGGGGCAUCAGUAUUCAAUUGUCAGAGGUGAAAUUCUUGGAUUUAUUGAAGACUAACUACUGCGAAAGCAUUUGCCAAGGAUGUUUUCAUUAAUCAGGAACGAAAGUUAGGGGAUCGAAGACGAUCAGAUACCGUCGUAGUCUUAACCAUAAACUAUGCCGACUAGGGAUCGGACGAUGUUACAUUUUUGACGCGUUCGGCACCUUACGAGAAAUCAAAGUGCUGG
rnacentral:rRNA from 2 species